rnacentral:rRNA from 1 species
CCUACGGGAGGCAGCAGUAGGGAAUCUUUCACAAUGGGCGAAAGCCUGAUGGAGCAACGCCGCGUGCAGGAUGAAGGCCUUCGGGUUGUAAACUGCUUUUAUAAGCGAGAAAUAUGAUGGUAACUUAUGAAUAAGGAUCGGCUAACUACGUGCCAGCAGCCGCGGUCAUACGUAGGAUCCGAGCAUUAUCCGGGGUGACUGGGUGUAAAGAGUUGCGUAGGUGGAAUAAUAAGUAGCUAGUGAAAUCUGGUGGCUCAACCAUUCAGACUAUUAGCUAAACUGUUAAGCUCGAGACCGUUAGGGGUAACUGGAAUUCCUAGUGUAGGAGUGAAAUCCGUAGAUAUUAGAAGGAACACCAAUAGCGUAGGCAGGUUGCUGGGACGGUUCUGACACUAAGGCACGAAAGCGUAGGGAGCAAACGGGAUUAGAUACCCGGGUAGUC